rnacentral:rRNA from 1 species
CAGGCCUAACACAUGCAAGUCGAGCGGUAGAGAGAAGCUUGCUUCUCUUGAGAGCGGCGGACGGGUGAGUAAUGCCUAGGAAUCUGCCUGGUAGUGGGGGAUAACGUUCGGAAACGGACGCUAAUACCGCAUACGUCCUACGGGAGAAAGCAGGGGACCUUCGGGCCUUGCGCUAUCAGAUGAGCCUAGGUCGGAUUAGCUAGUUGGUGAGGUAAUGGCUCACCAAGGCGACGAUCCGUAACUGGUCUGAGAGGAUGAUCAGUCACACUGGAACUGAGACACGGUCCAGACUCCUACGGGAGGCAGCAGUGGGGAAUAUUGGACAAUGGGCGAAAGCCUGAUCCAGCCAUGCCGCGUGUGUGAAGAAGGUCUUCGGAUUGUAAAGCACUUUAAGUUGGGAGGAAGGGCAGUUACCUAAUACGUGAUUGUUUUGACGUUACCGACAGAAUAAGCACCGGCUAACUCUGUGCCAGCAGCCGCGGUAAUACAGAGGGUGCAAGCGUUAAUCGGAAUUACUGGGCGUAAAGCGCGCGUAGGUGGUUAGUUAAGUUGGAUGUGAAAUCCCCGGGCUCAACCUGGGAACUGCAUUCAAAACUGACUGACUAGAGUAUGGUAGAGGGUGGUGGAAUUUCCUGUGUAGCGGUGAAAUGCGUAGAUAUAGGAAGGAACACCAGUGGCGAAGGCGACCACCUGGACUGAU